UGGGGAAUAUUGCACAAUGGGCGAAAGCCUGAUGCAGCAACGCCGCGUGAGUGAUGAAGGUCUUCGGAUUGUAAAGCUCUGUCUUUUGGGACGAUAAUGACGGUACCAAAGGAGGAAGCCACGGCUAACUACGUGCCAGCAGCCGCGGUAAUACGUAGGUGGCGAGCGUUGUCCGGAUUUACUGGGCGUAAAGGGUGCGUAGGCGGAUGUUUAAGUGAGAUGUGAAAUACCCGGGCUUAACUUGGGUGCUGCAUUUCAAACUGGAU
rnacentral:rRNA from 1 species